rnacentral:rRNA from 1 species
UGAGGAAUAUUGGUCAAUGGGCGAGAGCCUGAACCAGCCAAGUAGCGUGCAGGAUGACGGCGCUAUGGGUUGUAAACUGCUUUUAUGUGGGGAUAAAGUGCGUGACGUGUCAUGCAUUGCAGGUACCACAUGAAUAAGGACCGGCUAAUUCCGUGCCAGCAGCCGCGGUAAUACGGAAGGUCUGGGCGUUAUCCGGAUUUAUUGGGUUUAAAGGGAGCGUAGGCUGUCUAUUAAGCGUGUUGUGAAAUAUACCGGCUCAACCGGUGGCUUGCAGCGCGAACUGGUCGACUUGAGUAUGCAGGAAGUAGGCGGAAUUCAUGGUGUAGCGGUGAAAUGCUUAGAUAUCAUGACGAACACCGAUUGCGCAGGCAGCUUACUGUAGCAUAACUGACGCUGAUGCUCGAAAGUGCGGGUAUCAAACAGG